GAAAUGCGAUACGUAAUGCGAAUUGCAGAACGCGAGUCAUCAAAUCUUUGAACGCACCUGGCGCUUCCGCUAAUCCGGGAGCAUGCUUGUUUCAGUGUCGUCUUUUCCUCUCCCGGCUACCCGCUCGUGGAGGUCGAUGAGCCUCUCGCUGCCCACGCGCAGCGGCAGGCUUCAAGUGGAGUCAUUGACAUGUUCGCAGCGGCGUGCGCCGUCUUGCUGGCAUGGUGUGGUAGUGUUGGACGCGCCUCACGGCGUGGCCUCUCACAAACGCCCCCAAGCCGCUACAAGGCAAGGCAGCGAUUACAACGCGUCGCAAUCAAAAUGCGCAACGUGAGGCGCCCUCAACCGGCGCCGACAACCCAACCUUUCAAAUACCGACCUGAAAUCAAGCAAGAGGACC
rnacentral:misc_RNA from 1 species